AGCUUUAUAUUCAAUAGGAUGAUUUAAAAUUGCAAAUUUUAAGGAGUAAGAAAAGAAAAUUACUAAGGCUU
rnacentral:tRNA from 1 species